rnacentral:rRNA from 1 species
GUGGGGAAUAUUGGACAAUGGGCGAAAGCCUGAUCCAGCCAUGCCGCGUGAGUGAUGAAGGCCUUAGGGUUGUAAAGCUCUUUCAGUAGGGAAGAUAAUGACGGUACCUACAGAAGAAGCCCCGGCUAACUUCGUGCCAGCAGCCGCGGUAAUACGAAGGGGGCUAGCGUUGUUCGGAUUUACUGGGCGUAAAGCGCACGUAGGCGGAUUGGUCAGUUAGAGGUGAAAUCCUGGAGCUCAACUCCAGAACUGCCUUUAAUACUGCCAGUCUAGAGUCCAGAAGAGGUGAGUGGAACUCCUAGUGUAGAGGUGGAAUUCGUAGAUAUUAGGAAGAACACCAGUGGCGAAGGCGGCUUCCUGGACAGUAACUGACGCUGAGACGCGAAAGCGUGGGGAGCAAACAGGAUUAGAAACCCGUGUAGUCC